CUAGACUCAUCUGGCCCCGUGGAAACCAGCAUCAGUGUUGUUUACAAGCUCCCCAGGUGAUGCUAAUGUGCAGCCUGGAGUGAGAGCCAUGGACCGAGACCUCUUCCCACUUCCUCCAUGGAAUUUUUCUUGCAGUCUGUUCUUGCAACCCACAGGCCCCCUUCCCUCACAACCCCAAAGGAAAGAUGAGUUUCCAUUAAGACAAGACCUUAGCUUUAACUUGAUGUCUUAAGCAGAUGGUGGCAGACCUAAUUCACAGUGUCAGCGGGGUCCUGAAUUUCUAUUCCAGCCCUUACGGCCAACUGGCAGCCUGGACCUGAGUGAGUGACAGAUGUCUCCUGAGCAGGACAGACAGGCAAAGCCUGCCGGAGGGGAUGCUGGAGAAAAUGGUCAUGUGGAACCUUCCAGCUGGUCCGACUGGUCAUUGUGUCUGCUCCAAGAAAGUGUGAAAGCGUCACUUCCUGGACUUCCCUCUGAGAGCCAAGAGCUGGAGCGAUGUGCCAGGGACCAGCCUGGAUGAUGCGCGGUCUCUUGGGAGAGAUGGCUGGAAGGCAAGAUUCACAAGACAGAAAACAGAGGUGACCCUGAAGUUGAAAGGCUUGAACCUAGCUGGGUGAUGGAUUACCCCGAGACUGCCCUGAUUUUGUUCUCUAAUUACGGUGUUUAUUUGGUGCGUCAUAUUGGGCCUGAAACCCUUAAUACCAGCCGGUGCUGUUCAUUGUUACAAUGUC
rnacentral:lncRNA from 1 species